rnacentral:rRNA from 1 species
AUUGAACGCUGGCGGCAGGCCUAACACAUGCAAGUCGAGCGGAUGAAGGGAGCUUGCUCCUGGAUUCAGCGGCGGACGGGUGAGUAAUGCCUAGGAAUCUGCCUGGUAGUGGGGGAUAACGUCCGGAAACGGGCGCUAAUACCGCAUACGUCCUGCGGGAGAAAGUGGGGGAUCUUCGGACCUUACGCUAUCAGAUGAGCCUAGGUCGGAUUAGCUAGUUGGUGGGGUAAAGGCCUACCAAGGCGACGAUCCGUAACUGGUCUGAGAGGAUGAUCAGUCACACUGGAACUGAGACACGGUCCAGACUCCUACGGGAGGCAGCAGUGGGGAAUAUUGGACAAAGGGCGAAAGCCUGAUCCAGCCAUGCCGCGUGUGUGAAGAAGGUCUUCGGAUUGUAAAGCACUUUAAGUUGGGAGGAAGGGCAGUAAGUUAAUACCUUGCUGUUUUGACGGUACCAACAGAAUAAGCACCGGCUAACUUCGUG